rnacentral:rRNA from 1 species
AACGUAGGUUCCGAGCGUUAUCCGGAUUUACUGGGCGUAAAGCGCGUUCAGGCGGUUCGGCAAGUCGGGCAUGAAAUCUCUCGGCUCAACCGGGAGAGGUUGUCCGAUACUGUUGGACUUGAGGGCAGUAGAGGGUGGUGGAAUUCCAGGUGUAGCGGUGAAAUGCGUAGAUAUCUGGAGGAACACCGGUGGCGAAGGCGGCAUCCUGGACCGGCAUUGACGCUGAGGCGCGAAAGCCAGGGGAGCAAAGCGGG